rnacentral:lncRNA from 1 species
AGCGAGAGUGCACUUGUAGAGCGCAGCUCAUAGGCGCCUGUUCCUCCGGCGAGCGUCAGCGUCCUACCUCGUAACCGGGCGAACGAGCACAGCAAAAGAUGAGAGCGAACGUAGAUUGCAGCGAGGG